CUCCAGUUUGAGUCGACAGAGCAGAAGGAGCAAACCUGAAGGCUGAGGCAGGACUGCCUGAAGUCCAGAAGAUGAGGGUUUGUGUGGAGGAAGAGGAGGACAGAGCAGAGUCUCCAGGAUCCAGCUGUCUGUCUAUGAAGAGUGACCGGUCCAAAGCUGAUCCUCUAUUAUUCAGUAAUGAACCUGGACCCUCAGACACAAAUGUCGGACAAAUGUGGAUAUUUUUCAACAACAAGCAACAAAUCAGUCAUGUUUGAGUCAUGUUUCUGUGGAGGAGCAGACGUCUUUCUCUACUUUGUGUCAGGACGUCCUGAAGGAUCCAGUCUCUACCAGCUGUGGACACUGGUUCUGCAGACAGUGCAUCACCUCAUACUGGGACCAGUCUGCUUCACCAGGAGACUCCUCCUGUCCCCAGUGUGGAGAAAGAUCCAGAACAAGAGCUGGACUGCAGACAGCCGGUCAGAUCAACACUGUACAAAUCAGUGGUGGUCUGCAGGAAGUUUUAGAUGAACAUAAGAUCAGUCUGAGGAGGAGAUGUG